UUGAGGCACACUUACACACCAAAGACUUUUCUCCAAAAUAUUAUUAUUAAGAUAUUCACUCGAAAUACGAACACUAAGAACCUAGAGAGUGGAUUGUCGUGGACCUAAGUAUUCACUCGUCCUCAUACUCAUUAUCUUCAUAAUCCUGAGCCGGAUAUUCAUAAUCUCUAUAAAACCAUGGAUAGUACUCGUCUUCUUUGAAUUAAAACCACAACACUCUCUCCUCUUCAUAAUCCUUAUCUCCUCACUUAUCAUAGAAGUCAGAAUGAAUCCGUCUUCAGUGGAAAAACCUACGCAGGGGGCGUACACAAUUCCGCCGCCAAUUGGUUAUCCGACCAGAGAUGUGGCUGGUGGUGAUCCCGUGGUAGCCGCAGUGGAGACCAAGUCCAAAGGCGAUGAUGAAUGUUCUUUUAAAAAAAUGUAAAUAUUUCUUUAAAUUUACGUUCUUCUUUGCUAGAAAAAAAUACUUUUUGUAUUUAUAGAUUAGUUGCUUUUAGUUAUACGUUAAUCAUUUGCAGAAUAUUCACACAGCGCUCAAAUGUAUUUUUUUUUGUUUUGUUUUUAGUGAUCUGAUUGUGUAGAUUUUAGAGAUGUGAUUUCUCCAUUUUUUGGGGGUUUUAAAAUAUUUAACUCAUCAGACAUUUUUUUAUAGAUUUGUUUUCAUUAUGUCAGACGAGAUUAAAAUUUUAAACCUAGGGUUUUCUUUUAAAAAGAAUUGUCUAAUUUCACCAACUCAGUUUCUUUUUCAGAAAAAAUCCAACUUCAAGUUUUCAGCUCAAACUGUUUUUCCUUUUCCAACUGAGCAGCCAAAGUAAAUUAAAAUUGUUUCGCACUUUGCUAUAUGAAAACCUCGCUUUUUCUAGUAUUUCGGAAGAUAUGUUACUGUUUUAAUUAUUACAAUAUCAUAUUUCCUACA